rnacentral:lncRNA from 1 species
CAUAAUAUAAAAUCAUAUUUAAAAAAUAUUUCUUUCCUCAAAAUCAAAGGCAUCUUAAAAAAAAUUCAUGCAGAUCUGGAAGAAUUAAUGUGUAAUAUACUAGAUCUAAAACAAAUAAGUUUCGGACAGUUCAUACUGGAUCGAAGAAGAAAACCUGUAAAAAUUAAUUCAUGCUUCUAUAUAAAGUUUUAACAAAGAACCCAAUAUCGAUUUGUUCAUAAAAUCAUAAAAAACCUCAAUUUGCGUAACC